AGAAGGGCAGGCAGUAGGCGUGAAGCUGUGAGCAGAGUAGAGAGCAACUUGGCAGAGCGCAAGCAGAGUAGGCAAGUGCUGAGGUUUGGCGUGAGUAGCAGCAAAAGCCCAUAGCAUCAAGAAGCAGGAAGUGAGGAGAAGGUAAGUGAAGGGCAGGCAAGGUAAUGGGAGGCAGAGGCAAGGGGAAAGGGGAGGGUAAGGGAGAAAGAGGGGAUGGGGAGGGGAGGGGAUGGGUGAAGAGCAGAGCGGAGGGAAGGGCUGAGGGGAGGGCUGAAGGCAAACCAAUGAUGAAAAAAGAAAAGAAAAAAUAAGCACAAAAAAUAUGAAAUAAGAGAAAAAGAAAGAAAAAUAAGAAAAAGAGAAAAAAAGAAAGAAAAAAAAGAACAAAAAAGACAAAAAAGGAAAAGAAAAAAUGAACAAAAAAGAGAAAAAAGAGAAAAGAAAAAAAUGAACAAAAAAGAAAAAAGAGAAAAGAAAAAAUGACAAAAAGAGAAAAAGAGAAAAGAAAAAAAUGACAAAAAGAGAAAAAGGAGAAAAAGAAAAAAAAUGAAAAAAAAAAAAAAGAGAAAGACAAAAAAGAAAAAAAGAAAAAAAAAAAGAGAAAAAGAGAAAAAAAAAAAGAAAAAGAUAAAAAAAAAGAAAAAAGAAAAAGAAAUAAAAAAGAGGACAGAAAAAAUGAAAAAAAGAAAAAAGAAAAAAAGAAAAGAAAAAAAUAGAUGAAAAAAGAAAAAACGAAAGGAAAAACGGAUAAUGACAAGAGAAGAAAGGUAAAGAGAAAAGAAGAAAAAAGCCAAGUCAAAAAGUAAAGAAUAACUCGAAGGAAGGAGUGGAUGGCAAGAAAUACAGGGAAGCAAUGCAUAGCACAGCAAGCAAAGCAAGGCAAAAUAGCAGCCAAAGCCACGAGAAUCAAGAAGUCAGUGAAGAGCAGGAAAGGAAUGGAGGAAUCUGGCCAGAGCUGUGCCCCUGCUUGCCACAGGAGCUGCGCGGGAGGAGAAGAAUGUGGGCCAAAAGGUAAGAGGAGCUCCUUUGGGUUCUGGGCUUGAAGCAAAGCUGAGAAGCCAUGCCCGGGAGGAGGUGUGGGUAGCUACAGGCCACCUUGCUAUCUCCCCAAGAGAUGAGGUGUGUGGGGCUAGGCCACCGGCAGGAGUGCUGGCCAGAAGCAAGCAUCUCUGUGGAGGAAGGCAAAGGGCGGAGGAGGUUCAAGGGUAGCUACCGGGCAUGGCCUUGCUCAGCAAGGGGAGGAAAAGCCUGAAGGGCACGAGAAGGGGACCAGAGAAGGGCAGGCAGUAGGCGUGAAGCUGUGAGCAGAGUAGAGAGCAACUUGGCAGAGCAGCAAGCAGAGUAGGCAAGUGCUGAGGUUUGGCGUGAGUAGCAGCAAAAGCCCAUAGCAUCAAGAAGCAGGAAGUGAGGAGAAGGUAAGUGAAGGGCAGGCAAGGUAAUGGGAGGCAAAGGCAAGGGGAAAGGGGAGGGUAAGGGAGAAAGAGGGGAUGGGGAGGGGAGGGGAUGGUGAAGAGCAGAGCGGCAGGGAAGGGCUGAGGGGAGGGCUGAAGGCAAACCAAUGAUGAAAAAGAAAAGAAAAAUAAGACAAAAAUAGAAAUAAGAGAAAAAAGAAAGAAAAAUAAGAAAAGAGAAAAAAGGAAAAGAAAAAAUGAACAAAAAAGACAAAAGAAGAGAAAAGAAAAAAAUGAACAAAAAAAGAGAAAAAAAGAGAAAAGAAAAAAAAAUGAAACAAAAAAAGAAAAAAAGAGAGAAAAAGAAAAAAAAAAUGAACAAAAAAGAGAAAAAGGAGAAAAGAAAAAAUGAACAAAAAAGAGAAAAAGAGGAAAAGCUAAAAAAAGAAAAAAGAUAAAAAAAAAGAAAAAAGAGAAAAUAGAAAUAAAAAAAAGAGGACAGAAAAAUAUGAAAAAAAGAAAAAAAAGAAAAAAAGAAAAGAAAAAAAUAAUAGAUGAAAAAAGAAAAACGAAAGGAAAAAAGGUAAUGACAAGAGAAGAAAGGUAAAGAGAAAAGAAGAAAAAAGCCAAGGUCAAAAAGUAAAGAAUAACUCGAAGGAAGGAGUGGAUGGCAAGAAUACAGGGGAAAGCAAUGCAUAGCACAGCAAAGCAAGCAAGGCAAAAUAGCAGCCCAAAGCCACGAGAAUCAAGAAGUCAGUGAAGAGCAGGAAAGGUAAGUUUCCCUUAAAGCAAGGGGGAAUGGUAGUGGAUGGGGGCCAAAAGAGAGGGGAGGGGAGGAGGGGAGGGGAAGUGAAGGGUGGGGGAGAGGGGGAGGAGCAGUGGGGAAAGCGGUGGGGCUAGAGGGGGGGUGAGGGGUGCAAGAGGGGGGGAGGAGGAAGGGUGGAGAGGGGGGAGAAGUGAGGGGGGGGUGAGUAAGUGGGGGCGUGGGUGGAUGGGGGGGGAGAGGAGAGAGGGUAGGAAGGAAAAAAAUUGGAGGUAGGGUGAGGGAAGGGGGAGGGUUGAAGGGAAAAUAAUGAAACAGGGGGAAAAAAAG
rnacentral:lncRNA from 7 species